UACCUGUGUAAUAUUUUGUCUCGUGUGUUUGGAACAAUAAAGUUGACUCUAUUUGAUUUGUUCAGGGGCUCCUCCUGUGCUGGCCCCCUGGCGGCAGGUGUGGGUAGCGCAGAGAAGUGCAGAGGCUCAGCCCCCUGGAGCUUCCCGAGGACCGGACCGAUCCUCCGCUUCUCCCCGCUGCUUCCUCCUCCACGCACCGUGAGCUGCGGGACUCACUCCGCUGCGGCCGCCGGAUACACAAAUCAGCCACGGGAAUCGAACCUGCACCGCCGGAGACAGGUUGAUGUCUCCUCACCGAGCGCCCCCAGGGUCGCUUUCCAUCCUGACUGCUGAUCGCUCGCCACCUCUGUUAGCCUCUUGAGCGAUUCGAUUGGUCGGUCGCCCCCCCGCCCCCAGCUCAGAGAGACAACGCACAGGUUCCUCCGAGCCCUGCCUGGGCAGGACUGCACCGCCAUGGACACUGAGUCCACCUACUCGGGCUAUUCCUACUACUCUGGACGCUCCCGGGGAUCCCACAGGCAUGGGGAGCGAAGCCGGGACCGCCACAAGCCGCGCAGUAAAGACAGCCGCUCCGAAAAGUCUGUAACAAUCAACACGCCGCCUGCAGAGCCGCUGCUGGGAGACUCGGCCGUUCGGGGUGAGCAGGUCCAGG